rnacentral:rRNA from 1 species
CGUAAACGAUGAGUGCUAAGUGUUGGAGGGUUCCGCCCUUCAGUGCUGCAGCUAACGCAUUAAGCACUCCGCUGGGGAGUACGACCGCAAGGUUGAAACUCAAAGGAAUUGACGGGGGCCCGCACAAGCGGUGGAGCAUGUGGUUUAAUUCGAAGCAACGCGAAGAACCUUACCAGGUCUUGACAUCCUUUGACCACUCUAGAGAUAGAGCUUUCCCUUCGGGGACAAAGUGACAGGUGGUGCAUGGUUGUCGUCAGCUCGUGUCGUGAGAUGUUGGGUUAAGUCCCGCAACGAGCGCAACCCUUAUUGUUAGUUGCCAUCAUUCAGUUGGGCACUCUAGCGAGACUGCCGGUGACAAACCGGAGGAAGGUGGGGAUGACGUCAAAUCAUCAUGCCCCUUAUGACCUGGGCUACACACGUGCUACAAUGGGAAGUACAACGAGUCGCUAGGCCGCGAGGUCAUGCAAAUCUCUUAAAGCUUCUCUCAGUUCGGAUUGCAGGCUGCAACUCGCCUGCAUGAAGCCGGAAUCGCUAGUAAUCGCGGAUCAGCACGCCGCGGUGAAUACGUUCCCGGGCCUUGUACACACCGCCCGUCACACCACGAAAGUUUGUAACACCCGAAGUCGGUGAGGUAACCUUUUGGAGCCAGCCGCCUAAGGUGGGAUAGAUGAUUGGGGUGAAGUCGUAACAAGGUAACCAAGGGCGAAUUCCAG